UUGAAUUUUCUUAGAAUGAAUCCAACAACCAAAGCAUAAGUGCCACGAGCCCACGACACAACCAACCCAUACAAAAACUUUGACACUUCUCUUCUUAUCACUUUGUUUUUAUUGUGAUAAAACACUGCCUUUGAUCUCAUUCCCUCCACCUCGAUCGUUUUCUUUUAAUAGAGGGAAACAUUUGAUCCAGUCCAUAAUCAUAGAGUUAUUAGGAAGUUAGAGAAAUGCCUUCCGAGGCGUUGGUUCUGUUAAGACUCUUUGCAGUUCUUCUCGUCGUCACCGAAGUAGCUGCGGCAUCCGGAAGGGAGUUGGGCACGGUCAAGCAAGAGGACGAAACAGUGCAACCUGAUCAACAAAGCUACGGUGGAGGCUCUGUUCCCGGAAGAGGUUAUGGAGGAUGAGGAAACAACGGAGGAGGUUACAGUCGCCAGGGCUGCUGCUACAAAGGUUACCGUGGCUGCUUAAGGUGCUUUUCUUAUGCUGGAGAAGCUGUUCAGACUCAGCCUGGUCACUAAAUAUACAAUAUAUUAACCACCAUGCGGUAUGUGUUUGUAUGGUUAUAAACUUAAUUAGAAAUAAGACAUCAUGGUGUGUUUGUACAUAAAAGGGGCAGGAUAGAUUUGGGAAGAGAAAAUACUGGAAUGAAUUUUCAUACAGUAUUUAUGUGUUUGAGUUGAGUUCUACUUAAAAAACAUUAUUUGGAUAACGAGUUCGUCCUAGCCGCUUCUCUCUGGCACAUUCCCCAAGGUUGCUCUCUCCGGCGGCGUCGAUUCCGAUCGGCGGCGCCGCUGGGACUUUGUUAUGUUGUUCUCGUGUUCCCCUCUUCCACUUUUGCUUGUUAUACAUCUGGUUCUAUGGUGAACGCUCUGAAGGUUCAUCAAGUCUCUGUUCUGCAACUUCAGCCAUGUUUCAGCUUCAAUCACCACCUGUCCCAUCGUCUCUUCUGGUGGUAGCUCUUUGCGAGGUGAUUCUCCUGAGCUUCCAGCCGUUCAAAGUCAGAUCUGAGACUUCACAACGCCCCUGUAACCUUGUCGCUCGUCCCUGCCAUGCCUCCUUGAAGUCAAUCUCAUCAUCUCUCUGCUCCUUGGAUCUAGAUCCCUCACCAAUCGGUUUGCUGGGUUGCAGUCGGACAGGAGCUCUGUGUCGACGCUGGAGCUGUGCAGUCUCUUGACAAGGACCCGAAACCCAUCCUUUGCACCACAUGAUUCCAGGUUUAUUCCAAAUCCUCCUCUGCUUUCCCGUAGCUUAAUCUUGGUUCGAUUCAUGAAGUUAGUUGUUCGAAGACUGCAACUGGACCAUAGUCGACCAGGGAUGCUCUUUUGUUGCAAAGAGUAUUUGAGAACCCUGCCCUUAGAUUUGGAUAGGGUCCCUACCUUUUCUUACCAGCUUUUGAGAAGGUCCGGCAUUAUGAUUUUGGCCCUUUGGAGACAUGGUUACCGGUACCUCUUGAAUCUACCCUCUCUGUUUCAGCUGUUCUUUGAAUUACCACAAACACUAGCAUGCUACCUAUGCUCUGAAAUCAGAAA